UCACGCGGUACGACCGGCUUGCGAGGCUUCGAACGUCAUCAUUUUUGGCUCCUCCCCUAAAUGAAGCAAGCCUCGAUACGCGCUUCGUGGACACGCCCCCUCCAUUACUCGACACACGCUUCGAAGCCUCGGCACAUCUCGUAACAUCACUAGUCGGCACGUCUGGUAGCGUCUCUGGCUGCUGUUGACCUUGUUUUUGGAGUAAAACACGGUGGAAGCUGAAUUAGUGAGGAUGACUCCUGCUCCUGUCAUCUCUAAGCUCCUCACACAUCUUUACCUGCACAUGAGGAAAAUCACUCCUGUAGAAUGCAGAUGUUCAGAGGGAGAUGAUGCCACAUCUGGUCCAGCUGAUGGAAGGUCUUGAAGUUCUCUGACUGGCCUCGACUGAAGAUGGUCGUCUCACUGGAUUUAAGGUUCAGAUGCUCAGUAACAAACUCCACCAAUGUGCCAACAGGGAAGCUUUAGGUUUAUUAAAUGUUGCUAUGAAGGUAUCGUUGUUUUUCUUUGUGAAUGCAAUGUGCUCCAACUGAAACUUGAAUUAGAACUUAGAAGUAAAUCCUUCCAUCUGAAAGGAUUUAGUUGCAUUAAUAACCUCAUAACAUUCUAAUUUUUAUUCCAGUCUUAGUUGGAAAUAGAAUCUCUAUUGAUUCAGGUAAAAACUGAACUUCACAGCAUGUUGAAGCAAAACAACCAGAUGAAAACUGUGAUGGUGUUGGAUUGUCAGACUGUAAUGUUGCAGCUCAAAGCAGCUUUUCUAUCUCAGUUCAUUCUGACAUUCAGCUAUGAAUCAACACAGCAGAUGGUGAUCCAUGCUGUGGAAGUCUCACAUCUCCUGAUUUAAUGGAGCUGCUUUGCACUUUUUACACUGUUUAUUCACCAACACUUUAUUUAAUAAAAGUCCCAUCUAGUUUUUAUGAGGAAUGUGAUGUUUUAAUUUCUCUGUGAAUAACUGCAGUCUAAUGCAACAGCUGGAAUUGUAACAUCUGUCCUGAUAUUGAUCAUGAAGUACUGAUCAGAAUACUUAUGGUUAGCAGUCAUCCCUGAAGUUUACAUUAAAAUCUUUACUUGUGUUGUGAACUUUGGUAAGAAGCAGAAACGUUAGCGUUGCCAUGGAUACAUGAGUGUUAAAUUCUGUCCAUGUUUCCAUUUUGGGAAAUUCAGUCCAGUUCCAGAAUGUGGAGGAAUUUAGUCUCACAAUCACAGACAACAAAUAUUAUCUGAAAGUCGGGUUAUUGUUGUUUAUCAGCACAAUACAAAAAGAUUAAUGUUAGAAAUAUUCCAGUUAAGACUCUAGAAUAUCGUGAUUUAUGUAAAUUUACCUCAAUAGUAUGAAUGUUCAGGUUAAGAUUGUACAGUUAUAUUUAUUAUGUAAGUUUAGCUGAUUAAAGUUUAUGACUCUGCACUAAAAUAUUAUUUAAAUUGACAUCAUUAUUAUUAUAUUUAGGGUCAGACCCUACAGUAUUGAGAUUAAAAAAUCAAAUAUUCUAUAAAAUGUAAAUACACUGAACUCAUUUGGAUAUUUUUAAGUGAGACUCUACAAUAUUAUUUGACACAAAUCUAUCUAAAUCAAAAUUUUAAUAAUUUUCACGCCAAACAUUUACUGGACUGAUUUAAAUAUUAAAAUCACUCCUUUCUAAUCCUCUGCUGUACGUUCAAACCUGAGGCCUUAAAUAGAAACACAAGUAUCUGAUUGAAGGAACUUCUGCAGAGUCCUGGUUCCAGAACAUGAUGAUAGAAUUAUAGACAAACUUUAACAAAAGCUGCCUGAGAGUUUACAGGUUUUUAUGUUAGAUUUCUUCAGUAAUUUAAUGAGUUAUCAGCAAUAAUCAAGUGUUCAUUUGAUGAACUUCAUUUCCUAAGACAUCCAGAAUUGGAGCUCAUAUCUUUGGCAGCUGUAAAGUUUCUGCUCCUUCAAAGUUCACAACACAAUGAAUAAAUUCCUAAAACACUCUCAAUGCUGGAGAGCGUUUGUGAUGCUGAAGCAGUGACCAGUUUUUCUGUUUCUUCUCUGGAGAUGCACAAUGAGGGACGUCUGCAGAGAAUGAGAAAGAGUCUCACCACAUCCUGACAUGAGGAAAAAGACUUUAUUGAAGACUACAAUGAGAAAAACUAUCAGACAGCAGAUGGCUGCAUUCAAGGUGAGCUCUGAACAUUUGAUCUGGAACAGGAAUUCAAUAACGGCAGCAUGAGCUUCAUUUCAGUCUGUAGCUGCUGAAUUCAUGGAUGAAUCAUCUGGCACUAGAGAGGAAGACCAUCAAACAUCCACGUCAGCUGAUGGAGGUCCAAGAGUCUCACCAAACAAACAACCUACAGAGUGAAGACCUCAAAUCUGAUUGGACGUCCUCCUAUUCAGCCACAUGUGUGAACAAAUGCCUCUAAGUUGAUUUGUUUUCUAAAAUAAAUCUAGUUUGAGUCCUAA